rnacentral:rRNA from 1 species
GACGAACGCUGGCGGCGUGCUUAACACAUGCAAGUCGAACGGAAAGGCCCUGCUUUUGUGGGGUGCUCGAGUGGCGAACGGGUGAGUAACACGUGAGUAACCUGCCCUUGACUUUGGGAUAACUUCAGGAAACUGGGGCUAAUACCGGAUAGGAGCUCCUGCUGCAUGGUGGGGGUUGGAAAGUUUCGGCGGUUGGGGAUGGACUCGCGGCUUAUCAGCUUGUUGGUGGGGUAGUGGCUUACCAAGGCUUUGACGGGUAGCCGGCCUGAGAGGGUGACCGGCCUCAUGGGGACUGAGAUACGGCCCAGUCGCGUACGGGAGGCAGUAGGGGGGAAUAUUGCACAGUGGGCGGGAGCCUGAUGCAGAAACGCCGCGGGCGGGAUGACGGCCUUCGGGUUGUAAACCGCUUUCGCCUGUGACGAAGCGGGAGUGACGGUAAUGGGUAAAGAAGCACCGGCUAACUACGUG